rnacentral:rRNA from 1 species
CCUACGGGCGGCAGCAGUGAGGAAUAUUGGUCAAUGGACGAGAGUCUGAACCAGCCAAGUAGCGUGAAGGAUGACUGCCCUAUGGGUUGUAAACUUCUUUUAUAUGGGAAUAAAAUGUUCCACGUGUGGGAUUUUGUAUGUACCAUAUGAAUAAGGAUCGGCUAACUCCGUGCCAGCAGCCGCGGUAAUACGGAGGAUCCGAGCGUUAUCCGGAUUUAUUGGGUUUAAAGGGAGCGUAGGUGGAUUGUUAAGUCAGUUGUGAAAGUUUGCGGCUCAACCGUAAAAUUGCAGUUGAAACUGGCAGUCUUGAGGACAGUAGAGGUGGGCGGAAUUCGUGGUGUAGCGGUGAAAUGCUUAGAUAUCACGAAGAACUCCGAUUGCGAAGGCAGUUCACUGGACUGCAACUGACACUGAGGCUCGAAAGUGUGGGUAUCAAACAGGAUUAGAUACCCCAGUAGUC